UACGGGGGGAGCAAGCGUUGUUCGGAUUUACUGGGCGUAAAGGGCGCGUAGGCGGUCAGCACAAGUCAGUUGUGAAAUCUCCGGGCUUAACUCGGAAAGGUCAACUGAUACUGUGCGACUAGAGUGCGGAAGGGGCAACUGGAAUUCUCGGUGUAGCGGUGAAAUGCGUAGAUAUCAGGAGGAACACCAAUAGCGAAGGCAGCUCGCUGGGACGGUACUGACGCUGAGGCGCGAAAGCGUGGGGAGCGAACAGG
rnacentral:rRNA from 1 species